rnacentral:rRNA from 1 species
UACAGAGGGGGCAAGCGUUGUUCGGAAUUACUGGGCGUAAAGGGCGCGUAGGUGGCCUUCUAAGUUGAACGUGAAAUCCCUGGGCUCAACCCAGGAACUGCGUCCAAGACUGGGAGGCUUGAAUCCGGGAGAGGGAUGCGGAAUUCCAGGUGUAGCGGUGAAAUGCGUAGAUAUCAGGAGGAACACCGGUGGCGAAGGCGGCCCUCUGGACGGAUACUGACGCUGAGGCGCGAAAGCGUGGGGAUCAAACAGG